CUCCGCGCGGCCGCUCGCCCAGGCGGUGUUGGCGAAAGCGUGGCGGCGGGUUGAGGGUGCGUCUUGUGCGGAGUCGCUCGCGCCGCCGCCUCACGGCAGCGGGCGGGAACCUCCAGGAGAGGCGUGAGGGGACUGAGGGGUGAAGGGUGAGGACGGAGGGUUGAGGGGGCUGAGGGCGGAAGGCUGAGUCCCUCCGCCUCUGAGGGCACCGCGUUAGACCCGUGGGGUGGGUCGAGGGAGGUGCCAGCCCCCGCCGGCACCGGGGAAAGAAAGGGUUAAAGGCCGGCGGUGUGUGGCCACCGCGGUGCAGCCACGUCCUACAGCGCCCGCAGGGCAGCUGCUGAGUGAGCGACACGUCUGCGCAGAGCUCUGAGGCAGCGGCGCUGGCCACUCGGGUGGCACGGGGCUGGUCUUGGAAGCGAGGGAAGCCUUUGGAGGUGGCACUGGGGGGCUGCACUUCGCUACUUAGGGUAGAUGCACAGUUUUCAUUUUCUGCUGUUAGAAAGCGGAGUGAUUCGUAACAGAAGGCUGAUCUAGUAGGAUUACCCCUCGUGCUAUGAAAUGUAGCAGAGCACAUAGGUGGCUCUCGGUAUACCUUUUUAAGUACAACUGAUGCUCGGUAGUGAGUUUACUCAAUAAUGUGAGGAGAAAGACUUCUUAAACGUUUUAUUAUUUUCACGGAGAGAUAGGGUUUGUGUAGAUCGUCUCAGUAGGAUGACACCUAAAACACAAAGAUCGGGGCAGAAUGUAGCCCUUCUGGGCCUCUCACUUCGUGUUCCCAAAGCAGCACUGACCGUCUCAUGGGAUGAUUCGGAAGAGCCACUCUAUGAAUAUGUAACUGGGCCCAGGGAAUAUAAGCCUGGCUCAGCAGCUCUCCCUGUGGCUGGAAUGUGGUACAAGAAGUACUUUGGACUUGAGAAACGCUGUUAUUCCAUGUAACUGCUUGGUGCUGAAGCAUCCCUGCCUUAUACCAGCCAUAGGAGUAAUUCACAAUCAUAUAACUCACUUACAAAAGUUGGAAAACAAAUGUUUUCACCAGAAAACUGGGAAGACAGUGCAAGAAACUCAACCCAGUGGAAAAUAACAGGAUACUUGGCAUUUACGUAAAGCCUUGGGUUUUCAACAUCUUGUGUAAUGAUUAGGUGUUUAAUCUUCUGUCCUCUGAGCCGGUUCAGUAAUGACUACUUCUGUGAUGAAACAGGAUAAAGUUCUUCCCAGUUAAAGACCUGCAAUUAAACUACUACUAUUAUUCUCCUUAUCCAAGCAGGCUCUAUUUAAUAUAUGUAUAAGUAAAUGCUAUUAAGAAAGUGCUUUUAUCUCAACAAGUCACAGCUUGAUUGUGGUUAACAAUAGUUUUUAUUACAGAAUCAUAACAUGUUUGGAUUGUCUGUGCACAGCUGUGGUGCAGAUCAGAAAAAGAUUUCCUUUCCUCAUGAGUUUAAUUUAGAUUUUUCCCCAUCGUCUUAAUGUGUUCUCUUAACUUCCUUUGUAUUUCAAAGAUGGGUUCAGAAAACACAAACAAAUAGUAAGAAAUGUGAAAUACUUUUACCUGUCUUCCUACUAAGAUCUUAUCUCUAAAUUCAUACAUUCUUCACGUUUCUUUGAGAACAUGUGGUUUCCCGCUGCAUGAAUGUGGUGGUGUGCCAAAUUGUGCUGAAUCCUGGCAGAAAUAAUUUCAGAAAUCAGGCAACUCUAAGCAUUCUGAGCUUCCUUUUUCUGUUCUGGAUCCUUUCUUAAGAGAAUAUAUUGGUACCUGAGCUUGUCUGGGACACCUUGACUUAGUUCUGUGAGCCUUGGAUCUAGUACAGCAAAAUGGUGGCUAUUUUUGAUCCCCACAUAAUAGCUGGAAACCAAGAAGAGCUCCAGGAACCUGCCCUAAGGAAAUUAAUUCAUUUAAAAGAUCAAGUUUAGAAGAAUUGUACUUGAAAGAAUUUAAACACUAGAAAAUAGACAAAUAUAUUAGAAACAGUGUAAUACCAAUACUAAGUAUACCUGGAUUAGACCAUUUCCAAACCCGUCAUCCUGAUUAGGGGUAGACAAGUUUCAACUUCAGUCAAAUUUUGUUACUGUGCUGGUUAGCUUCGCCUGCCAAAGAACUGCCAGAGAACAAUUUCUCCAUUAUGACCACUUCAGUGUUUCUUCCUCACCUGUCUCUGGUUUGCCAAGACAAAAGUCACACAACUGAUAAAGGGUCUACAGAAUUCUCUUAGCGUUAUUGUGCUGCUUCUGCUGUUCUUUUUGUGCACUUCUUAGUGGUUCUUUAGGUAUGAACAAGCCUUAUUUUGAUCUAACCAGCUGUCAUAGAUCCUGAUCCAUGAUUGGGAAGCCCACAUAUAGCUAAUGUACAUAAUUGUGAGUGUCAGUGGGGUAAUUACAGCAAUAUGAUUAAAGGAGUGAAAGGAAAAUCAGACACUGUGGGUUACCUGUGAGGAAAAAUACCUCAGAAUUUUCUAAAUUCUGAAAUCAAUGUACACCUCAUUCAUACGGAUUUGAUCUGAAGAGCAAACAAAGUAGUAAUAAUGUUUACAUAUCACAGUUUCCCAUAAAGAGCUUGGUAAGCCCUGGAAAAACAUGUAUGAAAGAACAUUACCAAGUUUCUCAUUACAGAUGUUAUGGGUUUGGUUGUUCCUGAGUAAUUAUUUAGUUUUAUAGGGCUUUUUUAUCUGAGAAAAUUUGAAGAAUACCUUGAAAAUUAAUAGCUCAUCACUAUAGUCAUAUGCAAUUUCAUCUUGUUCUACUUCUUCAUCUUUUGGAUAACUUUUCCAUUAGGAGGUGAAUGCCUCAACCCAAAGUUGUAUUGUUCACUUUUUCUUUUCAAACAUUGCUUAUUGCAGGCUCUGGAAAGAAGACAACUCAGGGAAAAGCACAACGAGAGCACAGCUUUACAAGCAGAAAUCUAACUCUGACACAAACCUCAUGGCUGAGGCUUAUUUUCUAUGGAUUUUGAAGCUGAAGAAACAUCUCUUAUCACACAAGGACAGGCUACAUUCAGUAUAGAUUAGGAGGUGGAGUGUGUGUCAAGGAAUGUAGGGAUUUCUGAGUAAAUUUGAAAUAACAGAACAGUCAAUCAGCUUCAUUGAUUUUGGGUAUUUUUAAACCCACCUUAAUGUAUGGGAUACACUGACGAUUGUGUUUUAAGCUGAUGCAGCUUGGAAAUACUUACUGAUGAAGUCAGUGUAGUGCUUGAUGUCUUAUUUCAAAAUAGUAUCUGCCUGUAUUCCUUUACACAUAUUUAUUUCACAUUUAUUUUAAAUGCUACAAUUUUUUUUAAUGUCACAUCACAGGGUCUUUUAAUGAAGGGCUGCUGAAUUAUUGAGAAAUUUCAUUCAGAAUUCAAAAUGUAGUAUGAACAAUCAUCUUGCAAAAUUCAUGUUGACCCAUUGUGCUAGUUUUGGCUAGGAUAGAGUUAAUAUUCACAGUGGCUGGUAUGGGGCUCGAUUUUUCAUUGGUACAAAGUCUGCUGUUUUUUCUUAGUCUUUAGAAACUGUGAUGUCUGAAGUGCUUGGUCAUAAUGUCAUAGAAGUAGAUUCAGCUCGUCUCUAACAUAACAGUGUGAUUUUGUUCAUCCCUUAUAAAGUUCCCUGUCUAAGGGAGUGUUUCACAGAGAAGUCUCUCGUCCACACUGGGACGAGCAGGAAUCUCCGAGCAUCUGUCAAGCACUGACUUGUAUGCUAGAGAUACAUCUUCAAAAUCCAUAUGCCAAUGCAUUUGCACAGGCAGAUUUUUAACAAAACAGGUUGUUUGGGAUAUUUUGAGCUGUAUGUGUGUGGCUCUGUUUUCAAUGGUGACUUGAGAACUGCAGUAAUUAGACUGUAGUGAAACAGCAGUGCAAGUAUCAGGCAGGCCUUUGGGCAUAAUAAUUUGAAGUCCUUAAACCAACUGCAAAUAAUUUUAGUUUCCAACCCAUUAUUCCAACUCAGUCGUUGACCAUACAGGUACGCCCCUUUGCAUACUGGGCAGAGUUGUACUGUGUGUAUUUUACUACAACACUGGCAAAACAAGCACUUGAGUAACCAGAUUAUAUUUAUCUGUGCAGUUAUUAUAGUUAAAUUCCAUUAAGUCAGUGAGAGCUUUUCCAGUGGUUUUAAUUUCACUAAUUUAGUAAUAGUAGUAACCUUGUAUUGGUUUUUAAAAAAACUAGGUUUGUUUGUUCGCUUCCCCCAUAGGAAACAUCACUAACAUAGAUAGUUUUAGUAUUAAAACAAUAUUGAUUUAGCCCGAUUUCAGUUGAUGCUUUUUUUUUUUAUUUAAACUCUCUUGGGAUUAUCUUUAUGAAAUGCUGUUGUGUUUACAUGUACAUAUUGUUUUGUAACAUGAUAUCACUUAUGUAAAAAUUCCUGUGGUAUUUUCCUUGGUUCACCACAGUCAUCAUCUUCUAUGUUGUCCGCAGGUGUCUGCCUCAGCAGCUGUUCUCACUGUGUUAGUGUUGAUAUACAGUUGUCAACUGCAUUAACUGUACGUUAAAGGUCACAAAGAGAAGUUGAUCACAGGUCCAAGUUCCUGUAUCUUUUCGUCCUGCUUACCUGCCUUUCCAUCUCAGUUCCAUUAAGUCUAUGAGGUAUUUUUUAUUCCAUUUAGUCUUAAAUGACAAUAUUUUUAUGGACUGUUCCAGACUACUCUUUAGAGAGACAGCCAACAAAUCCCUGUUUUGACAAGCCAGUGAUUCAUAGUAGCUGACCAGAGGAGUAGAUCUGCUUCUGGGUUUGAUAACAUGCCUCAGUUUUUGGGUUCAUUUCAAAAAUGGCCACUAGCUGUCCUAGGAGAUUUAAGCAACAAAUUCACAGAUGUCCCCUGCAGGAUCAAAGUGAAGGAACCAAUGUUUCAAGCCAAUAUACAGUUUUUAGCCUUAUCUGUUACAGUGUUGGCUUUUCCUAGAGAGAUUGGCUUCUGUAAAGGUCAAAAACCAUUUAGGAAGCUUACGCAGAAGUUUAUUACCGCUCUUCCGUCCCAAAGUCCACCUAAUUGUUGAGGGGGAGAAUGGUAAAUACACAGCCAAGUGUAAACAUGUCAUAGUAGUGACCUAUAUAUUUUAAAUAGGCACCAUUCAUACCAUUAGAUGCCUUUUCUUUAGUGCGUUGUCAUAAUCUGUAGAACUGCAUCGUUCACACAUAACGGGAUACAGAUUGCGAUACAGCUGUUGUGACUUGGAUUACUGAUUUUAGACCUCUUCAUUGGACAAAGUUUGUCAGGAUUCAAUGUCGCCAAAGAUCAAUCUGUCCUCAUAAGUAUUUUUCUUUUUUUUUUUAUGGAGGGGGAUGUAUGAAAACUGUGUACACAUGCAGCUCCUGUUCUUUGGCAAGCAGUCAUAGCAAGGAGUAAUUGCUGAAGUCCUCUGUGGCAAAGUCCAUGUUUUUUUAGGUUUUGCCUUGUGUUUCUAUUUUUUAUGAGAAAAGGGGAGGAAGUUGCAGAAUACAGCCAGAUUAUGCUUAUCAGGUAGCAACAUAUGCAUCAGCAACACAUCAGUAGCCUUUGCCUCUUUCUAAUAAAUAAUACUUACAGACUUACUGCACAAGCAUGAUUUUGGUUAAUUUGUUUAAUAAGGUGAAUUUUGCUGGAUCUCUUCUGUUAUUAACACAUUCACCAAUACGUGGUACACAAAAAUCUUUUCAUUGGCUGAAGAAAUUCCUCUACUGGAACAGAGCACCUUUUUGUUGCUUAGACAGACAGUAUAGUCAUUGUGUUAAAAUUUGUAAACUGGGGCCUUUAUCAGAAGGCAGCUGGACAACAUUUUUCUUUGGAAUCUCAGAUUAACGUGUUCUCUUUCUCUAGUUUUGCGUGUACUCUGAGGAUGGAAGGGCCAGUUAGGAGGCUGAGCAAAGCCAUUGCUACAGAUAGCAAAGAAAUGCAUCUCACUCCCAAUGACAUUGCUGUGAAGAUGCAGAAGAGGAGCACCAAAUUCCAAGACUUGCUGCAGGCAUGAAUGCUCCCAGAAGUGUGAGUCAGCUCAAAACAACUCCUAGGCUUUCUGUCUGUCCUACAGUCCAUCUGUCCCACUAUCCGAUCCAUGACCAAGGCCAUUUUAGGAGAUAAUUUUGGCUCUUCUUCAGAAUCUGCUGCACUUGUUUAUUCUUCAAGUCUUGGACUCUGAUGUUAGGGGAGCACAACUGGCAGGAAAUCUUGAGUCAGGACAUGCAGUUAGCUUGGAAUCCUUCUGGAUCUUAAAGCCAGAGAGGAUUUUUUUCAGUUCUUUGGACAUGAUCUCAGUAUAACUCCCACUGAGAGGAACUGAGCUGAACAGUACCUUUUGCUAUAGGUAGUCAAGAGGGUCAAGGUUUGUACUUCAGUGGAACCCAAAUUUAGCAUGUCUUACUUUUGUUUUCCUUUAGGCUGGUGAUUUGCAAUCAGGUGCUAAGAACACUGCUGUUUCUUCAAUCCCCACUCUGCUCUCAGAAGGGCAGGCAAAUUCCCUCACAAACACUGGGAAAGGAUUACUGGUGCCCUAAAUUACUGCAGUACUUAAAGUCAUGGACCAUAGCCCUGGAACAGGCUGAUGCACAUGCAGGUAAGCAAGGGACACAAUAAAUGUAUUGUUCCAUGCACACUUUUGCCAGCAGCAGCCUGUUUUGAGGCAUUCUCAGGACUCACCUCAACUGUAAGCUGCUUGUUCCUGACUCUGUUUCAGCUGUGCCAAAAUGACUGUAUAUGUGUGUGUUUGGGAACAGAAUCAUGAGACUGAUUCAGGUUAAACUGCCUAGCAAAGCUUUUUUUGCAGAAUUUUUUCUUCAAUACCUAUUUAAUUCCCAUGGCCUGAUUCAUAGGGUGGCCUUUUAGACAGUUGUGUUGAUAAGAGUCAUAUGGCUCUUAAGAGAACAAGGAGGGAAGGAAGAAACAGGCAGGAAGGAAGAAAAAAUUGCAGGAAGUACUGUAAAUCAAUACCACUUCCAAAGGCAACUUCUCUUCAAACCUACAGCCUCGUGGUGCUGCUGCUAAGACCUGAGCUAAGAUAUCACUGUUGUCCAGAGUCCAGUGUCCAUCUCACAGUCAGCAUCAACAAUGCUGGCACUUUCAUAGCUAUACUUGUAUCAGUUUGCUCAACAGCAGUGAUAAGCUAAAGAUUAAGUUAAAAGAAUGUAGUAGAAAGGGAUCCCUCAUAAACUUUUGAAGUUUUUUAGAAGGAAUUCCUUGCUCUUUACAAGCAGAAGUACUGCUGAAUUUGCAGAGCUUUGGAGUUGUGGAAUAGAAUCUGAAUUAACAGUGUAUUUAAACUUGAAGUUCUUAUUUAAAUUUUUAUGUUAAUUUUAGUUUGCCACUGAUGUCACACAAGCGACAGCAGGAAUCAUUUUACUGAAAUCACAGAUACUGCUGUGUCCCUCGUGAAGUAAUUUCUACCUGUGUAAAAUACCUAUGAAAUGCUACUAAAGCAAGUCAGCAUUUUAUACUGACUUGACACCCAUAUUGCAGUGAUGUAAAUUGCUGCAAUAUGAGGCAUAAGUGGAUAAAAUUAUACUAGAAUAAAAGUCUUGUGUCAGAUUUGAUCCCAUAUAAGUGUUUUGUACUGUUGUUUUAAUAGAGCAUUGCAAAAUUGAAAAAAUGAUUAGUAGUCCUGCCACUGCUUUAGCAUUUAAAAGGUCCUAUUUUCCAUUUCCCUAUAGUCCCUUUAUGCUACUUCAUUAGUUUAAAAAGGCCAUAAAGAGAGCACAUUUAGCCACUUGGGAAUAUUUUCAUUUCAGUGUUGCUCUUGCCUUUGGCAUAGUAGACAUGUUAGGUUGUGGC